UACGGAGGGUGCGAGCGUUGUCCGGAAUCACUGGGCGUAAAGGGCGCGUAGGCGGUCCGCUAAGUGUGUGGUGAAAGCCCGGGGCUCAACCCCGGGUCUGCCGUGCAAACUGUCGGACUGGAGGACUGUAGAGGCAGGUGGAAUUCCGGGUGUAGCGGUGGAAUGCGUAGAGAUCCGGAAGAAGACCGGUGGCGAAGGCGACCUGCUGGGCAGUCACUGACGCUGAGGCGCGACAGCGUGGGGAGCAAACAGG
rnacentral:rRNA from 1 species